rnacentral:rRNA from 1 species
UACGUAGGGAGCAAGCGUUGUCCGGAAUCAUUGGGCGUAAAGCGCGUGUAGGCGGUCCGGUAAGUCCGCUGUGAAAGUCGGGGGCUCAACCCUCGAAUGCCGGUGGAUACUGUCGGGCUAGAGUACGGAAGAGGCGAGUGGAAUUCCUGGUGUAGCGGUGAAAUGCGCAGAUAUCAGGAGGAACACCAAUUGCGAAGGCAGCUCGCUGGGACGUUACUGACGCUGAGGCACGAAAGCGUGGGGAGCAAACAGG